UUCCAGUGUUGUCAAGGAUGGCAAGGGAUGUGUUUGCUACUCCUGUUUCAACAGUAGCAUCUGAAAGUGCUUUUAGUACUGGUGGUAGAGUCUUGGACUCUUUUAGGAGUUGUCUAAAUCCAGAAAUGGUUGAGGCAUUAAUCUGCACUCAAAAUUGGUUGAUCUUUAGUUUAAAAUUUUUAGAGGUAUUGAUCUUUAGUUUAAAAUUUUUAGAAAUGGUUGAGUCUUGGUUGAAACAUCUGAAAGAAUUGUUAGAGAAUUAUGUCAGUCUUUAGCAGCAACAACUUUUGGAGGAGUAGCUGGACCAUCUACAAGUACAUCAUCUGAUGGUGCAUCUUCUUCUCAAUCACGACCUCCUGGUCGUGAUUGAGAAGUUUCUGUUAUAUCUUUUUGUGAAUAUUUUGGAGUCAUUGAACCUUAAUGUUCAUAUUUUGCAAAGACAUGACUCAGUGGAUUGUGGACAUGCUUGUUAUUUUGAAAGGACUUGAAUAUUGAAUCAAAGAAAAGACAUUUUUUUGAAUCUGGAAUUGAACCUUAAUGUUCAUAUUUUGCAUCUGGAAUCGAAUCUGAACCUGCUUUUAUCAUGCAAUUUGCAAUAUUUUGAUGCCUUCAUCUGCUGCCUUCUACCGCUGAUUGUUGUGCAUUCACCACUAUUGUGAGUAUUUAUUUGCAAAAGAAUUCUGACAUACUUAAUUGAAUCGGAACUUGAAGUUACCUUCAAAUAAUGACUCGCUUCCCACCCGGUGCUGCUUGCUAUACACACUCAUUGCUAUUUGGAAAUUGUUUACUUUGUUUUAUCCAAAACAAAUUUUGCUGCAAUUCUGCAGUUUUGAUUACUUUGCCUCAAAUUAUGAGAUAGGAAGAUCAAAGAAAGGAAGCUGCAAUUAUUGCUGCCCAAAUUGAAGGUGGAGGUAGAUUGUUGGUGAACUUGAUGAGGCAAAUCAAAGGAGUGGAGUGCAUUGAGCAUGGUGGAUUACUAGAUGUUCUCAACAAACUUUAUGGUUAUGUUGUCUUUUUCAAUUAAGAAUUUGUAACUUAUUAGUAAUUACUCUUGAUGUGGGUGUAUCUAAAGUCCCCUAGACUAUGUGAUCAAGUCCAAGCAGGUGUCCACAUCCUCUUUCUAUGAAGGAUUGUUAUUAAUCAUGUACAAUUACUAAUGAUUAUGACAUUAUGUAAUCCUUUAUUAUUAUUAUUAUUAUGUUUUUAAGUUUAA